UACGAAGGGGGCUAGCGUUGCUCGGAAUCACUGGGCGUAAAGCGCACGUAGGCGGAUUCUUAAGUCAGGGGUGAAAUCCUGGAGCUCAACUCCAGAACUGCCUUUGAUACUGGGAAUCUCGAGUCCGGGAGAGGUGAGUGGAACUGCGAGUGUAGAGGUGAAAUUCGUAGAUAUUCGCAAGAACACCAGUGGCGAAGGCGGCUCACUGGCCCGGUACUGACGCUGAGAUACGAAAGCGUGGGGAUCAAACAGG
rnacentral:rRNA from 1 species